ACGCUCGACACCUACGGGAGGCAGCAGUGGGGAAUAUUGCACAAUGGGGGAAACCCUGAUGCAGCGACGCCGCGUGAAGGAAGAAGUAUCUCGGUAUGUAAACUUCUAUCAGCAGGGAAGAAAAUGACGGUACCUGACUAAGAAGCCCCGGCUAACUACGUACCAGCAGCCGCGGUAAUCUGAGCGGGCUGCAAGGC
rnacentral:rRNA from 1 species